rnacentral:tRNA from 1 species
GGGGAUUUAGCUCAGCGGCAUAAGCACCUGCAUUGCAAGCAGGUGGUCGUGAGUUCAAUCCCCG